AACCGUUGCACGUACACGGUGGUAAGUUUUCAUUUACAUGGCACUCUCAUAAGUUUGAUCGGGUGAGCUGACACGUUAACGUACGGGUGAGCCACGCGCGACGGUUACGCGUGCUUCUCUCUCUCACUAUCAACAGUAAAUUUUAUAUGUUGCUACGUCAAACAGACACGGCAUACGUACACGUCGGUGAGGGUGGGCACCUUUAGGUAGUAUAUAAGCAGCAACAAGAUAAACGCUAUUAGAACGAUAUCUUAUUCGAACGCAGAGGAAUUCAACUUCAUCGGUGUCAGUGAACUCAAUUUCUUCAGAAGAAAGGUCAGUCUGGACAGCUAUUAAGACGCCUCCACCUUUUUUAUUUAAACGGUCGUUUCGAAACACUUCAUACUUAGGACACAAAAUUUCGGAGUUGAACACAUUCGGCUUGAGCCAGGUUUCAGUAAACACCAGUACUUUGAAGUCAAAAUCAUGGGACUGCAAGUGUAACCUUGAUAGCUUUGUGUUCAAACCUCUCAGAUUUUGGUAUUAAAUGCUAAUGGUGAAGUUACUUAUUAGUUUUUUGAUGCCGAGGUGGACGGCGGAAGUUGAUCCAAAUUUUGCCAUUGCGGUCUAGAUCUAAAUUCAAAUUCGCGAAUGAAGGCACCGCUUGGCCAAAAAGAUGGGCUCAUUACUCUAUCAAAGCAGUCUUCGGAUAUGUCUAUUUUAAAAGAAGAAAUGCUUCUUUCAUACGAGAAUCUGAACUUGCGUACAUGCAACUCAUUUGCUAUCAGCCUGGAAGUUAAAUACCCCUUCACAUCAUCGACAGUGGUAUCUUUUGAAAACCUAUAUACAAAGACCGAUUUUUUGGAAGGGACAACGAUUAAAUCCCUCGGGAUGGGGUUAACGUAAUCGGAAACGGUCUCAGAUGUGGUAGGGGGUUGCGGUACAGCUGUCAAAUCCUUGGAAGGAGCAUCGAUGGCUCCGGAUGUGGUAGGGGGUUGAGAUGUAGUUGUGGAGUUUUUGGAAGGAGCAACGACUACUUGCAUCGGAGCGGUGUUGACGCAAUCGCAGACGGCUUCAGAUGUGGUAGAGGGUUGAGAUGAAGCUGUUGAACAGGAAUUUAGUGAGACUCCAGUAGUAGAAGGACGUGGUUGGGGAGAUUCAGUCCGCUGAGGAAUCGGUGUUAAAACUUAUGAGUUCUUUGUUCAUAGCUGGAGUCAAAAGUGGGCGGUUCUGCGGAAGAUCAAGGUCCGCAGUGAUGGGAUUCAACACAAUAUUUUCCACGCCUCUCCUACGUCUUUUAAGACCUUUUCCAGGAGAAGGAGAGGAGGAAGUAUCUAAUAAUUUAAAUUCUUUGAAUUCAUCCUCAUACUUCUUGAACUUCUCGUUGAGAAGUUUUAGCUCUUUGCUUAUCUCCGAAAAUCCAUUUAUAGCGGUUCUAAAUAGUUUACAGAGAUCCACAACAGUUUUUUUACACUUUGGACAUGACCAGCGAAGUCCAUUGUCUCCAAUAAUCAUAUCCAGAACUCUCCCAUUAAUACCAGCACACUUUAAAUGAGACAGUUCAUCGCAAAGCCAGCACGCCACAAAACGGUCCGAACCGGCUUUUACAUUACAUUUUUCGAACAGACAGGACAUUUUUAGCGAAUUUUAUUAAAAAAGAAUAAAAAUAGCGAAAUUAGGAAUGUA